rnacentral:rRNA from 1 species
CCUACGGGAGGCAGCAGUGGGGAAUAUUGCACAAUGGGGGAAACCCUGAUGCAGCAACGCCGCGUGAGUGAAGAAGUAUUUCGGUAUGUAAAGCUCUAUCAGCAGGGAAGAAGAUUACGGUACCUGAUCAACAAGCCCCGGCUAACUACGUGUCAGCAGCCGCGGUAACACGUAGGGGGCAAGCGUUAUCCGGAUUGACUGGGUGUAAAGGGAGCGCAGGCGGCAGUGCAAGUCUGGAGUGAAAGCCCGGGGCCCAACCCCGGGACUGCUCUGGAAACUGUGCGGCUAGAGUACUGGAGGGGCAGGCGGAAUUCCUGGUGUAGCAGUGAAAUGCGUAGAUAUUAGGAGGAACACCAGUGGCGAAGGCGGGCUGCUGGACAGUAACUGACGUUGAGGCUCGAAAGCGUGGGGAGCGAACAGGAUUAGAUACCCUGGUAGUC